AACUGGUCGGGAGCUAUUGCCGCUUCCCUGAUGAGCCCAUGGCAGGGCGAAACCAGAU
rnacentral:hammerhead_ribozyme from 2 species